CUUUCUCAAAGUUCCUUUUUGAUUCAGGAGUAUGCAAUGGUCCUAACAAUGUCCCUUUCUCAAGAGGAUUACCGAUUUUGACUUGUUUGUAUGAAGUAAGCAGUUGCUCGAGUACUUUGUCAUAGACACUCUCAUGCAAAAGCUUCAAAUACAAGAACAACAUUUAGAGUAUUGAGCAAAAGGAAUAGUAGUAGCAACAAGCUAUAAGGGGAUUAGAUUUUGUUACCAGCCUACGGCAAGUUGUGCAACGUUGACCAGCAGUUCCAACCGCAGCAAAUAGAACAGAUCGAGCCGCUAACUGUAUGUCAGCGUCGUCCAUGACUAUGAUUGCAU
rnacentral:lncRNA from 1 species